UUAGGAAUAAUUAUUAUUAAAAUAAUAAAAAAAAUAUUUUUAAGUUUUAUUAUAAUUAUAAGAAAUAAUUUAUAUGAAUAAUAGUAAAUUAGUAUAGUUAUAGAAUUUAAGUAAUAAUUAGUUAAGAAAAAUUUAUUUUUUGUACCUUGGGUAUCAGGGUUUAUUAAUUUAAGUUUACUUAUGUGAAAUUCUCGAUUUUAAAAGAGCGAAUUAUUUAUAUAUAUUAUUGUAAAAUAAAUAUUUAAAAUAAAUAAUUAGUAAUGAAACGUUAUUCGUUUUUAAAUAUAUCUAGUUUUUAAAGAAAAAAAUUGAAUUUUAUUUAUAUAAAUAAUUUGGUUUAAAUUUUAAAAUUAAAUUUUUAUAUAAUUUAUUUUAUAAGGGAUAAGCUUUAUAAAAAAUUUCUAAAAGAUUUUAAAAUUUAUGUUUAAAUUGUAGGAUUAGAAAUUUUCUUCAUAUAAUUUGUUAUAAUUAAUUAAAUUUUAAUAAAAAUUUAUAUUUUCUUUAGGUUUUUUAUUUAAAUAUUAAAUUUAAUUUUAAAAUUUAAGUAAUAAUGAUAAAAUUAGUAUAAUUUUAUGUAUAAAAUAUUUAAAUUAUUUAGGUUAUAAAAAGGAAUUCGGCAAAUAUAUUUUUCGCCUGUUUAAUAAAAACAUGUCUUUUUGAUUUUAAUUUAAAGUCUGGCCUGCCCACUGAAGAUUUAAAUGGCCGCAGUAUUUUGACUGUGCAAAGGUAGCAUAAUCAUUAGUUUUUUAAUUAAGAACUGGAAUGAAAGGUUGGACGAGAAAAUGGCUGUCUCUUUAUAAAUUAUUUAGAAUUUUAUUUUUAAGUUAAAAAGCUUAAAUUUAAUUAAAAGACGAGAAGACCCUAUAGAGUUUUAUAAAUUAAUAAAUAAUUGAUUUAUUUAUAAUUUUUUAGAAAUUAUUUAUAAUUUUAUUUGAUUGGGGUGAUUGAAAAAUUUAAUUAACUUUUUUUUUAUUAAAACAUUAAUAUAUGAUUUAUUGAUCCAUAUAAAUGAUUAUAAGAUUAAAUUACCUUAGGGAUAACAGCGUAAUUUCUUUUAAGAGUUCUAAUCGAUAAAGAAGUUUGCGACCUCGAUGUUGGAUUAAAAUUAAAUUUUGGUGUAGUAGCUAGAAGGUUAGGUCUGUUCGACCUUUAAAAUUUUACAUGAUCUGAGUUUAAACCGGUGUGAGCCAGGUUGGUUUCUAUCUUUAAUAAUAAUUAAUAUUUUAGUACGAAAGGACCAAAUAUUAAUAAAAUUUAUUUUUAAAUGAAUAUUAAUAAUAU
rnacentral:rRNA from 1 species